UAAAAAAAAAAGAAAUUAAAAAUCUUUACUAAAAUUUAGGGAUAAAGAGGCUUUGCGGAACCGGAUGCGGAUACUCUUAAGGGGAAGAUUAUUGUGGUUCGUGGUAUUAUUCUUUGUGAAAUCAUGUAAGCUUGAUAAUUUUCAAUCAUGAUGAUUCUGCCGUGCGUAUAGGCAGCAAGUCUGAUAUUUCCGUCAGUCAGUUGAUUCAUGGAGGCCGUAUUGCUUCAGUGGUGGUUUUCGGUUGUUUCUGUGAUGGUUCCAGUGGUUGGAGGCACAACGAUAAGUGGUGCUUAUUAGGAGAGGGAUAUCCCUUGCAUAAUUCGCAAAAUUGAAGACUCAGGUGAACCCAUUACUCUGUUAAAUCUGGUCAACAAAAAAUGGGGUAUAAAUGGACAGGAUUCACCCGUCUCAGCUUGACUCCAAGCUUCGGUUUCUGGGAGAUUCAUUGUGAUUCUCGGCUGAUUUGCAUACCUUUCGGCUGUUUCUUCUCAAGUUUCAUUUUAAUUGCCCAUUUUGUCCACUUUCAGCCGAUUAACGCCGGUUCAGUCACUCUUCUAUAAGCUUUUGGCAGUUACAGCCUUACACCCUAUACAUGAUUGUGUUAAUGGCAGACCAUGAAGAAACAAGUGGCAGAUCCUGGUCUCAUGACUGCCCAGUUUACUGCUGCUGGUGGUUGUUUGUGGCCAGAUAUGAUGUUUGCCUUGCUCAUCUGAGUGUCUUCCUUGACAGAUCUUUAUUGAUUUGAGUUGUAAAGUCAAGAGGAAUUGGCUAAACUUGCUUUACUUUUAUGUUGACUUUAAAAGUCCAUUAAAUCAUGUGAUGUAGAUUUAUGUGACAAAAGUGUCAGUAUUUCAAAAUUGGAGUUCUGGUUUAUUGGAUUUGUUUUAGCAACAUUGUGUUGCCGAAGGUGAUGUAUUAGGUUUGGUGGUUAAAAAAAGGGGUCUGCCUGUUAUGUUGGUCUAUUGUAUUAGAUUUAUUAU